GACGUAGGGCGCGAGCGUUGUCCGGAAUUAUUGGGCGUAAAGAGCUCGUAGGCGGUUUGUCGCGUCUGCUGUGAAAACUCGGGGCUUAACCCCGGGCCUGCAGUGGGUACGGGCAGACUAGAGUGCGGUAGGAGAGACUGGAAUUCCUGGUGUAGCGGUGAAAUGCGCAGAUAUCAGGAGGAACACCGGUGGCGAAGGCGGGUCUCUGGGCCGUAACUGACGCUGAGGAGCGAAAGCGUGGGGAGCGAACAGG
rnacentral:rRNA from 1 species